AGACGCCGGCCAUUCAAACAUGAGGAUUACCCAUGU
rfam:phage MS2 genome.